rnacentral:misc_RNA from 1 species
UUUCCGUAGGUGAACCUGCGGAAGGAUCAUUGUCAGAAUUGAUUGUCGAGGAGGAAAGAACGGGCAGUUCAUAACUCGUUAUGUUCGGUCCCUCUUGUUUCCUCCUUGCAUACAUCGGUGACCUAUCGUUGCCUGCACCAAGCUGCAUGGGCAAACACGCUUUUGCCCGCUUGCACUUGGUGUGGAAGCCCGUUGUAGGGCUGUGCGGUGCUCCGGCACUUCACGGCCCGAAGCGGGGGGCUGGGGCCUAACAGUCUUGGUUCUUAUCAAACCUUACAAACCACAUCACUAAAGUAAAUGGCUGCCGGCUUUGCUGGUGGCUCAAACAACAACAACUCUCAACAACGGAUAUCUUGGCUCUC